rnacentral:rRNA from 1 species
GAGACCUCAGGUCAGGCGGGGCUACCUGCUGAAUU